rnacentral:rRNA from 1 species
CCUACGGGUGGCAGCAGUAGGGAAUCUUCCACAAUGGGCGAAAGCCUGAUGGAGCAACGCCGCGUGGGUGAAGAAGGUCUUCGGAUCGUAAAACCCUGUUGUUAGAGAAGAAAGUGCGUGAGAGUAACUGUUCACGUUUCGACGGUAUCUAACCAGAAAGCAACGGCUAACUACGUGCCAGCAGCCGCGGUAAUACGUAGGUGGCAAGCGUUAUCCGGAUUUAUUGGGCGUAAAGGGAACGCAGGCGGUCUUUUAAGUCUGAUGUGAAAGCCUUGGGCUUAACCGGAGUAGUGCAUUGGAAACUGGGAGACGUGAGUGCAGAAGAGGAGAGUGGAACUCCAUGUGUAGGGGUGAAAUGCGUAGAUAUAUGGAAGAACAACAGUGGCGAAAGCGGCUAUCUGGUCUGUAACUGACGCUGAGGUUCGAAAGCGUGGGUAGCAAACAGGAUUAGAUACCCCGGUAGUC